GCACCCGUAGCACAAUUGGAUAGUGCGUAGCCCUCCGAAGGCUAAGGUUACAGGUUCGACUCCUGUCGGGUGCA
rnacentral:tRNA from 1 species